rnacentral:rRNA from 1 species
CCUACGGGUGGCUGCAGUGAGGAAUAUUCCGCAAUGGACGAAAGUCUGACGGAGCGACGCCGCGUGGAUGAGGAAGGCCGAAAGGUUGUAAAAUUCUUUUGUCGGGGAAGAAUAACCAUGGGAGGGAAUGCCCGUGGGAUGACAUGAACCGGCGAAUAAGCCCCGGCUAACUACGUGCCAGCAGCCGCGGUAACACGUAGGGGGCGAGCGUUGUUCGGAAUUACUGGGCGUAAAGGGCAUGUAGGCGGUUUUGUAAGACUGGCGUGAAAGGCUGCAGCUUAACUGUAGCAUGGCGCUGGUAACUACAAGACUUGAGUCACGGAGAGGGAGCUAGAAUUCCAGGUGUAGGGGUGAAAUCUGUAGAUAUCUGGAAGAAUACCAGUGGCGAAGGCGAGCUCCUGGCCGAUGACUGACGCUGAGGUGCGAAAGCGUGGGUAGCAAACAGGAUUAGAUACCCGGGUAGUC